rnacentral:rRNA from 1 species
CCUACGGGUGGCAGCAGUGAGGAAUAUUGGUCAAUGGACGAGAGUCUGAACCAGCCAAGUAGCGUGAAGGAUGACUGCCCUAUGGGUUGUAAACUUCUUUUAUAUGGGAAUAAAACAGGGUAUGCAUACCCUCUUGUAUGUACCAUAUGAAUAAGGAUCGGCUAACUCCGUGCCAGCAGCCGCGGUAAUACGGAGGAUCCGAGCGUUAUCCGGAUUUAUUGGGUUUAAAGGGUGCGUAGGCGGAAGGUUAAGUCAAUGGUCAAAUGUCGGUGCUCAACACCGGCCUGCCGUUGAAACUGGUCUUCUUGAGUGAGCGAGAAGUAUGCGGAAUGCGUGGUGUAGCGGUGAAAUGCAUAGAUAUCACGCAGAACUCCGAUUGCGAAGGCAGCAUACCGGCGCUCAACUGACGCUGAGGCACGAAAGCGUGGGGAUCGAACAGGAUUAGAUACCCCGGUAGUC